UAUGAAGGGGACUAGCGUUGUUCGGAAUUACUGGGCGUAAAGCGCACGUAGGCGGAUUUGUAAGUCAGGGGUGAAAUCCCGGGGCUCAACCUCGGAACUGCCUUUGAUACUGCAAGUCUCGAGUCCGAUAGAGGUGGGCGGAAUUCCUAGUGUAGAGGUGAAAUUCGUAGAUAUUAGGAGAACACCGGUGGCGAAGGCGGCCCACUGGAUCGGUACUGACGCUGAGGUGCGAAAGCGUGGGGAGCAAACAGG
rnacentral:rRNA from 1 species